GGCCUGUUGUUUAUGAUUUUAGGUCUGGUCUGCCCAAUGAGGAUUUAAAUGGCCGCGGUAUAUUGACCGUGCAAAGGUAGCAUAAUCAUUAGUUUUUUAAUUAAAAGCUUGUAUGAAGGGCUUGAUGAGGGAAUUUCUGUCUCUAUAACAUUUUGUUUGAAUUUUAUUUUUGAGUAAAAAAGCUUAAAUUUUCAUAGAAGACGAGAAGACCCUAUAGAGUUUUAUAAAUUAUUUAGGCUAUAGUUUUAAGUAUUAGUGAUUUGGCUAGGGUAGUUUAUUUUGUUGGGGUGAUGGGAAAAUUUAUUUAACUUUUCUUUAUAAUAACAUUGAUUUAUGGUUUUAUGAUCCUAUGAUUUAGAUUUUAAGAAAAAAUUACCUUAGGGAUAACAGCGUAAUCCUUUUUAGAGUUCUUAUCGAAAAGGGGGGUUGCGACCUCGAUGUUGGAUUAAAAUUUAUUGUUGAUGUAGCAGUUAGCAGCUUAGGUCUGUUCGACCUUUAAAAUUUUACAUGAUCUGAGUUUAGACCGGCGUGAG
rnacentral:rRNA from 1 species